CUGGCCUUGACAUCCCAAGAACCCUUAAGAGAUUAGGGGGUGCUAGCUUGCUAGAACUUGGUGACAGGUGCUGCACGGCUGUCGUCAGCUCGUGUCGUGAGAUGUUGGGUUAAGUCCCGCAACGAGCGCAACCCUCGUCCUUAGUUGCUAACGGUUCGGCCGAGCACUCUAAGGAGACUGCCUCCGUAAGGAGGAGGAAGGUGAGGACGACGUCAAGUCAUCAUGGCCCUUACGGCCAGGGCUACACACGUGCUACAAUGGGGCGUACAGAGAGCUGCAAUACCGCGAGGUGGAGCCAAUCUCUUAAAGCGUCUCUCAGUUCGGAUUGUUCUCUGCAACUCGAGAACAUGAAGCUGGAAUCACUAGUAAUCGCAGAUCAGCUAUGCUGCGGUGAAUACGUUCCC
rnacentral:rRNA from 1 species